GAUGAACGCUGGCGGCGUGCCUAAUACAUGCAAGUCGAGCGAACAGAUGAGGAGCUUGCUCCUCUGACGUUAGCGGCGGACGGGUGAGUAACACGUGGAUAACCUACCUAUAAGACUGGGAUAACUUCGGGAAACCGGAGCUAAUACCGGAUAAUAUAUUGAACCGCAUGGUUCAAUAGUGAAAGACGGUUUUGCUGUCACUUAUAGAUGGAUCCGCGCCGCAUUAGCUAGUUGGUAAGGUAACGGCUUACCAAGGCAACGAUGCGUAGCCGACCUGAGAGGGUGAUCAGCCACACUGGAACUGAGACACGGUCCAGAGUCCUACGGGAGGCAGCGGUAGGGAAUCUUCCGCAAUGGGCGAAAGCCUGACGGAGCAACGCCGCGUGAGUGAUGAAGGUCUUCGGAUCGUAAAACUCUGUUAUUAGGGAAGAACAAAUGUGUAAGUAACUAUGCACGUCUUGACGGUACCUAAUCAAAAAGCCACGGCUAACUACGUG
rnacentral:rRNA from 1 species